CAGCCGCCGCGGUAAUACAGAGGGUGCAAGCGUUACUCGGAAUUACUGGGCGUAAAGCGUGCGUAGGUGGUGGUUUAAGUCCGUUGUGAAAGCCCUGGGCUCAACCUGGGAAUUGCAGUGGAUACUGGGUCACUAGAGUGUGGUAGAGGAUAGUGGAAUUUCCGGUGUAGCAGUGAAAUGCGUAGAGAUCGGAAGGAACAUCUGUGGCGAAGGCGACUAUCUGGGCCAACACUGACACUGAGGCACGAAAGCGUGGGGAGCAAACAGGAUUAGAUACCCGCGUAGUCCCUGUCUCUUAUAC
rnacentral:rRNA from 1 species